rnacentral:rRNA from 1 species
AACGAACGCUGGCGGCAGGCUUAACACAUGCAAGUCGAACGCCCCGCAAGGGGAGUGGCAGACGGGUGAGUAACGCGUGGGAACAUACCCUUUUCUACGGAAUAGCUCUGGGAAACUGGAAUUAAUACCGUAUACGCCCUACGGGGGAAAGAUUUAUCGGGGAAGGAUUGGCCCGCGUUGGAUUAGCUAGUUGGUGGGGUGAAGGCCUACCAAGGCGACGAUCCAUAGCUGGUCUGAGAGGAUGAUCAGCCACAUUGGGACUGAGACACGGCCCAAACUCCUACGGGAGGCAGCAGUGGGGAAUAUUGGACAAUGGGCGCAAGCCUGAUCCAGCCAUGCCGCGUGAGUGAUGAAGGCCUUAGGGUUGUAAAGCUCUUUCACCGAUGAAGAUAAUGACGGUAGUCGGAGAAGAAGCCCCGGCUAACUUCGUG